rnacentral:rRNA from 1 species
AUUGAACGCUGGCGGCAGGCUUAACACAUGCAAGUCGAGCGGAGAUGAGGUGCUUGCACCUUAUCUUAGCGGCGGACGGGUGAGUAAUGCUUAGGAAUCUGCCUAUUAGUGGGGGACAACAUUCCGAAAGGAAUGCUAAUACCGCAUACGCCCUACGAGGGAAAGCAGGGGAUCUUCGGACCUUGCGCUAAUAGAUGAGCCUCAGUCGGAUUAGCUAGUUGGUGGGGUAAAGGCCUACCAAGGCGACGAUCUGUAGCGGGUCUGAGAGGAUGAGCCGCCACACUGGGACUGAGACACGGCCCAGACUCCUACGGGAGGCAGCAGUGGGGAAUAUUGGACAAUGGGCGGAAGCCUGAUCCAGUCAUGCCGCGUGUGUGAAGAAGGCCUUUUGGUUGUAAAGCACUUUAAGCGAGGAGGAGGCUACCUGGAUUAAUACUCUAGGAUAGUGGACGUUACUCGCAGAAUAAGCACCGGCUAACUCUGUGCCAGCCGCCGCGGUAACAC